rnacentral:rRNA from 1 species
CAGUAGCCACGGGAAAACGUAAGUGGCAAGCGUUGUCCGGAAUUAUUGGGCGUAAAGGGCUCGCAGGCGGUUUCUUAAGUCUGAUGUGAAAGCCCCCGGCUCAACCGGGGAGGGUCAUUGGAGACUGGGAAACUUGAGUGCAGAAGAGGAGAGUGGAAUUCCACGUGUAGCGGUGAAAUGCGUAGAGAUGUGGAGGAACACCAGUGGCGAAGGCGACUCUCUGGUCUGUAACUGACGCUGAGGAGCGAAAGCGUGGGGAGCGAACAGGAUUAGAUACCCCAGUAGUCCCUGUCUCUUAUAC